rnacentral:rRNA from 1 species
GUGCCAGCCGCCGCGGUAAGACAGAGGGUGCAAACGUUGUUCGGAAUUACUGGGCAUAAAGCGCACGUAGGUGGUCCGCUAAGUCGCGUGUGAAAUCCCCCGGCUCAACCGGGGAAAUGCGCGUGAUACUGGCGGGCUUGAGAUCGGGAGGGGUGAAUGGAACUCCAGGUGGAGCGGUGAAAUGCGUAGAUAUCUGGAGGAACACCGGUGGCGAAAGCGGUUCACUGGCCCGACACUGACACUGAGGUGCGAAAGCUAGGGUAGCAAACGGGAUUAGAUACCCCCGUAGUCC